ACGGGAGGCAGCAGUGGGGAAUAUUGGGCAAUGGGCGCAAGCCUGACCCAGCAACGCCGCGUGAAGGAUGAAGGUUUUCGGAUUGUAAACUUCUUUUAAGUGGGACGAUAAUGACGGUACCACUUGAAUAAGCCCCGGCUAACUACGUGCCAGCAGCCGCGGUAAUACGUAGGGGGCAAGCGUUAUCCGGAUUUACUGGGUGUAAAGGGCGUGUAGGCGGGACUGCAAGUCAGAUGUGAAAACCGAGGGCUUAACCUUCGGCCUGCAUUUGAAACUGUAGUUCUUGAGUGCUGGAGAGGCAAACGGAAUUCCUAGUGUAGCGGUGAAAUGCGUAGAUAUUAGGAAGAACACCAGUGGCGAAGGCGGUUUGCUGGACAGUAACUGACGCUAAGGCGCGAAAGCGUGGGGAGCAAACAGGAUUAGAUACCCUGGUA
rnacentral:rRNA from 2 species